ACAGGUCUCUCAGGGGGAGAGUUCCCACUUGCUCCUUAACCUGGCUGGGAACGUGGGGGCAGCAGGAGCAGGGUGGGUCCCCUGGCCAGCAAGCAGUUUCUCGAGCUCCCUCUAAUUUAAACAAGCAGCAUCCAUGGGGGCAGGGGGUGUGCGUGCAUCAUUUUCCUUCCUAUUUACACCCGUAAGCAGCAGGUAUUUCCGCUGUGAGAAAUUUCCUUCCAAGCGCGGUGAUACAGAAAGCUCAGGUUUCCUCCCACGGGGUCGAGUGAGCGAGGCGGGCAGCGCGGAUCAGCUGAUGCCCGCGUUAGUCAGACUUUCUGCGUCUGCCUCAAGAAACGACUUGCUUGCAGCCCUGCCGAGGCAGGAAAUGUGACCCUGCCGGCCACUUUGCUAUGCUUGCUGAACCUGGAGGGAACUUGCUUUCAGCCCCUCUGUUCCCCUUCAGAUUUGUCUUCCAUCUUCGCCUUGCCCCAGCCCUCCUUCACGUGCUCCCGGCCGGGCAUCGCCUGCAAGGCACGGGGAGAGCUGCAGCCCCGGUGCAUCGCUUGCGCAAGGACGAGGCAGAGCUUGCUGUGCCUCCCUCCCUGUGGGAUGCGCUUCCUCCCGAGGAAAUCCCCCGCUGCGAGGCAUCCUGGGAGCCCAGCCCUGUGGAUUUUAAAAGGCAGACAGAAAAUGCUGCCCGGUACCGGAGGACACCUAUGGGUGUUGAGAAAGCCCUAGGAAAGAAGCAAAUGUUUCAGUUAGGGAUAAGGAAAAGGAAAACGCGGUCCUUCCUGCUCCUCGGCUCUGUGGUUUGUCUGAGCUUGCUUCCUUGGGAUACGUCAGGGCUUGAUCUGUAAAAAAAAAAGAUAUCUAAAACGUGUAAAAUCUUAACUGUUCCGGCGAUGGCAGCGUAAUCUGCAUUUUAUCAUGUAAAUUGUCAAAGCACAGCUCUAUCUGCUGCCCAAGGACUGCAGGAAAUGUACAGGCACUUGUGUAAAUGUAUAGAGGAAGGGAUGCUUUGCAGGGCUGGUGGGUGGGGGGAAGAUGGCUCUUGCUGCAGCUUUCAGUUCGUGGAUCACAGCUGGAUAGCUCAGCAAGCCUGGCUCUCCUGUGUCACCGUUCUGCAAGUUCCCAGGGCUCCUGUCCCUGCCGUGAGUGUGUCCCCGAACUGCUCACAGCCCAGUUGUGCAAGCCUUGGGAGCUGAGAGGUUUCCAGAGCUCUUUUAAUGAACUAGUAAAUGCUGGUGGCAUUUACUAGCAGAGUCAGCGAGCUGGGUCCUUUGGCUGCAUUUUUUCUCCAAACAGCCACAGGGAUCGCAGUGUUCAUGUUUUGCCUCUAAAUCCCCAUGACUUUGGCCAGUUAGGGGAUGUGGUUGGGUGAAUCUGACAGCAAGAGACAAAACAAUUUCUUUGAGAACCUUGAGGGGAGCCAAGGCUGUGCCAGAGCCUGACCAAGGCAGGAGGCAGCAGCACAGCGGGGCACAACCCGCAGCUGGGGAGCUGUCAGGCAGGACUUUAACUCUGUGCAAAAUGGGAAUUUUCCUCUUUCCCAGAUUUGCAAAAGAUUUUGCAAACCCUUGUGGCAGUUUAGGUAGCGUGGGAGUGCAUCCAUCACCGUGUUCACAACAACCACACUUUGUAGCACUUAAACCAGAUCCUUUCCCUCACCUUUAUUAUUUCUGGUGCACAAGGUGAGUGACAAGACACGGGACUCUGGUACUUCACCUGACUUACUUUACUUUGCUUGUUGAAGGACCUGCAGAAAGCUGUCAAGAGAGCAGGAUGAGCCUUCCAUUGCUCGGUUACACCAACAGGACUCCUCUGGCAGCUGUGCUAUGCCAUGCCCGAGGAUGCAACCUGCUUUUAGGGCAGGCUCCAUAAUUUCUCCUAGGCUGCGAGUGUUGCACAGGUGCAGAACAGCUUGCAGAAGAAUGUGGGGCAGCGCUGCCGAAACUGGGUGCAAGUUUGUUGUGCUGGCUUUGUUUGUUUUUUUCACCUCAGCGAUAAUUCUUACCAGCGUGCAAUCUCUGUUCUAUGUACUUUACAACUCCUCGUGAUUUACCGUGGUAAUCGAGAACUUAAAACAGAAGCCCGGCCCUGAACCUUUUCACUACAAGGAAAACAAGACCUUUGCACUGUCGGCUGAGCUCAGAGCCUCCAUCCAUGGCUCAGCCUCUUCUCAGGUGCAAAGAGCCCCAAAGUCCACAGAAAUCAAAGUCAUGCUGAUGGCAGAGCGUUUUUCACUGUAGUAGGCGGAGACGAGAGCUUCACUAUGACACGAGAUCUCUCCUGUCGACCUCCUCGUAAAAAAAAAAAAAAAAAAGAGAAGGCACCCAACUGGUGGAAACAAGAGUAUAAAUGCCAGGAUCACCAACAACAUGCCGGCCAUGGCUCAAAGUACAAUCAGUGAUGGAUUGGGCAUGUGACUCACAGAGAAAUAGAAGACCGGCUGUAUUCGUUUGUAUGACCCAAAAGGGUGCUGCCUGCUGAUCAGACCCAAGCGUGGGAAAGCCUGGCCGCUGGCUGAAAAGGCCGGUCACGUCAUGUUCUGCAGCUGGCAUUCAAACGCAUCCUGGUGAAUCAGGCGAUAGCAGCUACCUUUCCUGCUACGACGGCAGCUGAGCAGGAGCAGAGGCGCUGCGAAAACCUCCCUCCUGCAUCGACAGCACGGGGAAGGGAGGAAUGAAGGUUGUCAAUGAGCUUGGUGCGGCAGGAUGGCAAUUCUGGGGGGCCUUUGGCGUGGCACCAGACUAAAGGAAAAGGGUACAAGCAGGCUUUGACUGUGGGUGUUGGUGGCAGGCUUGCUCAGAGCAAGCCCACCUGCGCAUCACAGGCUGCUCGGGCAGACCCUGGCCGUGCCCUUCUGAUGCACAGUGGGGAAGGAGAACCUCGUGGGCUGACUGCCACUCCAAGAAUUGCUAUCAAAAAAUGUGGUCUGUCUCCAAGUUAGCACAGACUCAGCAGAUUUGAUGGGCGAGCAUGCUCCAAAGGGAUGGUUAAGAUGUGUUAUUUGCCUAUUGCGUGCUGCAAAAAUAAAUAUCCAAAGCAUGAGAGAACAAACUUUGGCAAACAAAGCGUCAACAAGCUGUGUUUGUGGGGGAAGGCUUGUAAUUUGUAGGGAACGUCGAGCUGGAAGGGAACACUGAGUAUAAAUAAGGAUAAAGUUUACCUUAAGCAGGCAUGAAGGCAGGGCUAUGAGCACAGCUUGGACUUUGCCAUUCUUCCGGUGAGACAACGGUUUGUGACACGUCUGCUAUCUCGUGCUCUCUGAUGUGGCCUCACUGCAGAAAGAUACCAGCCACUGCAGGAAGGUUUUUCAAUAAUAAGGCAUUUUUUUGGGGGGGGGGGGGGCACACCUAGUUUAUCGGUUUAUGAGUGACCAGGGAGACUGUGAAUUCCCACAGAUGAAAGGAAACCCCACAGUCACAUCUUAGUAGUAAAACACAGUAAAACUUUUAGCUGAAGUUUUGCUGCCUCUAGAUCACAAAUCUUUCUGAUCUCCUCUGGGUCUGAGAGUGGACAAAUGGUAUACGUGGUGCAUUGCUGGCAUGCUAUUCAUAUGGUUGUGAGGCUUAUACACUGAAAUAUGUUAAAAUGCCAGCAUUGGCUGGUACAGCCGAGAGCAGUAACUCCAUCUGGAAACACUGCUACAGGAUUUGCUGACUGUUGUUAUGACACGGACUGGGAAAACCCAGCCAGAAGGCAGGGUGAAGGGAAGCCCAGCCACUUCUGCUCAGCACCGCAGAGAUAUUUCGGCCGUCCCUGGAGAUGAGCACGGCGCUGAGGGAGCUUGCGUGGCAAAACACAGAGCAGCGCAGAGCUGCUCCAGGCCUCGUUGGCCACUGCCCGCCCAACAUCUGCCACCCCCGGCGGGGUUUGGCCAGCCCCCGUGCAGAAGUGCCUUCGGAGGUUUUCCUGAGGAUCAGGGGUGCAAUGACGGUGGGUUUUGGCCUGUGAGGAGCCCUGUGCUGAGGGCACUGCCAGGGCUCUGCGCCCGCGAUGUGACAGGAUCGGUCUUGGGCUAUGAGCACUAAGAGAGAAACAGGCCGCUGGCUGGGCCUUUAUCCUCUGCCCCCCUCAAGUGAAGCCUUUUGGCAGUUCCGGGCGAGUGAAUUUGUAUUGAAAACCCACAGCUCUUACAAGCAGUGCAUUAAUUGUUUUAUUAAUUUGCUCUUUUUACAUUAUGGGAAACAUUCAUCUAUUUACAUUUUCCUGUCCACACACAAACUAGAUAGAUAAUCCUAUGAAAACCCAAAUCAUUAAGCCAUAAAAACACUCUCCUCUGUCUAAAGACUUUCAAAUUUGUGUCUUUUGUUUCAAAUCAAAAACAUUUUUAAAAUCACAUUUGGGAAUGCAGGUAGGCCAGUGAUUUACAUUCCAAUUACUUAAAAUAUCCAUUUGACCUUUUUCCUUAAAAAAAAAAAAUCAAAAAAAGAAACAACCAAAAAAAACAAUAAAUUCACAAAGAUACAGUUCAAAUUAAAAUGAUAGUGCACAUCAAAGCAUUAAGGGAAUACCAAUAAAUAAACUGAAAUAUAUUACAAAUAAAUUAUUUCUAUUUACCUUUUCAAAUAUUAAAAAUCUUUAAUCCAUUUCUUCAUCUUUCUUUACAAAAGAUUAUGAGAAUUUUAUGGAAACAUCUGCAAAAAAUAUAAUAAAUACUUUUUUUUUUUUUUUCUUUUUAACUUUUGAAGCAGGAGACAAAACCAACCUUUUCUAAAAUUUCCCCGAGGAAAAAAAAAAAAGAAA